UACGUAGGCAGCGAGCGUUGUUCGGAGUUAUUGGGCGUAAAGAGCUCGUAGGCGGUUUGUUGCGUCGGCUGUGAAAUCCCGAGGCUCAACCUCGGGUCUGCAGUCGAUACGAGCAAACUAGAGUGUUGCAGGGGAGACUGGAAUUCCUGGUGUAGCGGUGAAAUGCGCAGAUAUCAGGAGGAACACCGGUGGCGAAGGCGGGUCUCUGGGCAACAACUGACGCUGAGGAGCGAAAGCGUGGGGAGCGAACAGG
rnacentral:rRNA from 1 species